AAUCUAUCAAAUCUCCGUUACAUAUGGCUCGGCUCCAACAAGUUAAAUGGUUCGAUACCAUCCACCUUUGUGAAUCAAUCAAAGCUGUUGCAGUUAGAACUCAACUCCAACAACUUAAGUGGAGAGAUUCCACCAUCCGUUUGCAACUUGAGAUUCCUAAUGGUCCUCUUUUUAUCAUACAAUAAUUUGGAAGGAUCAUUUCCAUAUUGUCUUGGAAACUUAAGCGCUUCACUAGUAAUUCUCCAUUUGAAUGCAAAUAAACUUAGUGGCCCCA